rnacentral:lncRNA from 1 species
UUUAGCACGGCCGGAGUCCAGCCCGUGCUCAACCCUCUGGGUGCUACUCCUCGCCCAAUCUGAUGGAUUUUGGUCCGUAAUCACACGUAUGUCCCUCGAUUACUGAUGAUGUCCUUCGAAAAUGACCUGAAAUGAGAAAGGAAACAAAAGAUAGGUGAUUCUAGCAUAAAACGGGAUAAUCAUGCAUAAAAAAUGUAAACAAUCGGGCAUGAAAACAUGUGUAUUAUGAUGCUUAUCAGAGACUAAAUUGCAAACUUUUCACAAACUUCCUCUAUUUAGGGCCAAUCAGUUCUAUGUAGAGCCGACGGCUCUACACAAUGUCGAUUUGUGUUUUCUUGGUUUGACGUCAUUCUUUUUAUACUUUUACAUCCAGAUACAUAAUCUAGAAGGUAUUUAACGAUAAUUGACAGACUAUAAUAAUAUUUUUUUGAAUUUUAAAGAUUUAAUUUAUUAGAUAUUGGUAAAUAAUUAUCGAUCCUUUAAGAAAUAGCUUAAAAUAAGAUUGAAGUCUGUAUGCUCCUCUAAGGUUUUCUUAAAAACCUACCUCUAUAAAUAGAAAGUGAUGACUAGGGUUGGGGGGACGAACAACAAUGAUCGAUCAAAAGAUUGUUAUUGAAAACCCUACAUUGAUUUUAAAGUAGAAGGUAUUUUUAGUAACUAAGGAGCGAGGAUCACUAAGAAAGGAUUCAAGAUUUGGAAACUUUUAUGAAACGAUAGAAGCUUAUUCAAUACUUUAUCCAGUACUGCAUUUCCAACCGAUCUUCGAUUCAACUACGUCAUCAUCUCCUGAGACUCGCAGAAUAAUCAACUACGGUGACUACUUGAGGGUUCCCCAACAUCCAUCAUCAUCAACAUCACUCUCCCAUUAAACUAGUUUUUCUGUUCUUUUAUGUUUUUAGAAACAUGAUUAGGAUUUCCUUAUUGUUGUUUUACAUAUUUGAUGUGAUUAGAGUAGAAUUUCUUAUGAAUUAAAAUUUUGCUGAUUUUAUUGGGAUUGAAUUUUAUAAUAAGAACACUAGGGUUUUGAAUCUAAUAAUAUGUCUAUCUUUGGAUUUUGAAUAUGAUAGGUCAAAUUAUUAAGAUAUUAUUAUUACAUUUGCAUUCUCUUUAUGUUUUGUCAUCAUAUUAGUUUAUUAGGGUUAUAUAAUUAAAAUAUGAAAUUUGCCAUGUUUGUUCAUUGUAUGUUUAGACUUUUGGGGUUUGCAUGACCUUUUAGGGGUUCUGGUUUAAUUUGAUGUUAUUUGUAACUUUUAUCUUGUUUAUUUCGUGUUCUAAUUAAUUAUUUACCUUAUGUGCAUGUAAAAUUAGCUCUAGGACAUGACAAUUGUAAAAAAAAAAAAAAAACUGUAGAAACCAGCCUGGAGAAGCCCUAGAGCCGAUCGGCUCAGUGUAGAGCCAAUUGGCUCUAUGUUAGUAGAUCGGCUUAGCUCAUUUUCACUGAUUUUUGGAAUUUUAUGGGUUUUUGAUGUAUUUUUUGUGAUUUUAUGUACUGUGACUUAGUUUUAAGGUUUUUCUUUACAAUUUUCAGUUGUAGACUGAAUUAUAAUAGCUAGAUUUACUUUCUGCACUUUAUUUUUUAUUUAUUUUUGGUUUAAUGUAUAUCAAAUAACUGUAAUAUGACUAGUUAACUAAAAUAGGACACAUAGACUUUAGGUUAAAAUCAAAUUCUAUAUGAAAAUUGUAGUCCAUUAGGAUAAUCAAUAUGGGCUUAUGUUCUAAAAUUAAUAUAGAUUUAAUUGACUCUACCAUGUUUUAGUUAGGUUAGUUGGGCCAUAUUAGAUUUAGGUUCACACAGUUAGGCUUUAUCGUAAUAAGUAGUCCAUCUAGGAUUAAAGACUUGGUAAAACACAACUUAUAAUUAGGCUAGACUAAGAGGACCUUAUACAUAAUUAACAAGUAAGUUAGAUUAAUAAUUUUAACAUGGGUUGGGCUUGAUAAAAAUAGGCUAGACUUAAGUGAACUAUAUGUGUUAUUUGGUAUGCUUGUUUAUAAACUGUUGUGUUUAUACGAAAUGAUUAGUUAAACAAUAAAAUUAAAGACUGAGACACACAAAUAAGGAAGUUGGCUUCUGGAUCCAUCUUUGGAUUUGUGACAUAAGCUUCCUUAGUCAUUAGUAAAGGUGCCCCGAUGAGUUACCUCGGUGACGACUCCCAUCUCCGUGCUAGUCUCAGUGACUCCCAUCGCUCGAAAUCGCCGCCCAUAGUGGCGACUCCACUUGAGAACUUGAUUUCAGUGUAUGUUUAUCUUUAACUUUAUUAUUUAAUAAAUUAUUCUUGCAUCACUACACCAUUUUCACACACUGUGCACUUUGGUUCCUGUAGCCCCGAUGGCAUUAGAUAAUGGUUUUUUGGUUCCACUCGAAUCCUAGAAUUGCAACACUAACUAACCAUCACUCACCAGUAAUGAGUGAAUUCCCUUCAUCGUAUGGACCCUUGAGUGGGAAGAGGAGCCAAGGAAGACCACUUUUUACUUAUGGGAGUCUUUAUUCUUACCCAAGAUUCAGCUCAUGGUAAUGACUGUAAAAAUCUCCCUUAGGAACCCUAUUGAUUGCUUUAUGAAAUUUUUAUCCUUAUAAGUGUCUAAAACCCAAGUAUAAAAUGCUUGGGCCCAAAAUAUAUGGAAUCAGGCCCUAGACCCAAAAUAUUCAGGCUUUUAUGCUUAUACUGAGAAAUAUUGUCUUAUUUAGUUUAAAAUCUACUUUGAGAGCUUAUGGCAUGUGUGUCAGGCCUACUAUCCCCUAUUGAUAGAAAGCCUAAACCCAAAUUCCUAGGGAACAAAGCCUCACCACUAACCGUGUGUAGGAGUAAUAAGAUUGGAAGGAUGAAUUGUAUAUUAUAAUGUUUGCUAACCCUUUUCUUUUCUUUUUUAUCGUUGUGCAUUGCACGUGCAUCAUACAUAUCACGUACCGCAUGCAUCAUACUAAUUCUUUUUUUAGCUACAUAGAUUCUCUUGUGGGUUAGAAGAGGCAAGAUAGUGGGAGGCUGGAAAGAAUACCUAUUUCUUAGAGAAUCCGGGUUAUGUUAGAACAUCUUGAAAGACCAAGACGUCAAGCUAUUGAAGCUACAUCUGAACUGACCAACGAAAGAGCUAACAAGCAAGACGUUGAGAUCCUCAUGAAUGUCAUCAUUGAUAAAUUGGGGAGGUGUAAUUCGGGAAGAGCUCCAACAACUUUUAGCUGGGAUGGCUGCAAACCAAGCCCCACAUGCUGCUCCUAUUGCACCAACUAAUCCCCAUGUUGCUGCUAACCCGGCUGUAGUUGCCAUUGCAGUUGCUCCUGCUAAUGCCAAUGCUGAGGACCCAACUAGGAAUGGAGUGCCCCAAAAAAAGUUUUGGGAACUUGAUGAAUUUAUGCUAGACCAAGCUAAGAGGGAGACUGCCUUUACUACCAAUAAAGCUACAAGUGGCUUGAGCGCUAGGCUUGACAAAAUACAAGGCAUGCUUGAAAUCAAAGGUUUAGGCCCUGCAUAUGAUUUCGAAGAGUUGAUUUUGAUAGGUGAAGACAAGCUGCCUGGAAAGUCUAGAAUGCUCGAGAUGAACAAGUUCAACAUGACUGGUGAUUCGAAAGUUCAUAUGAAAUAGUAUGUAACAAUCAUAGGAACUCUCAACUGAGUAGAACCCAAAUUAUCAAGCUAUUUGUGUUGUCUCUUAAAGACCCACUGUAAAUUGGUACCAUGGUCUUGAAAAAUCUGCCAAAGUUGAAUGACGUGAUUUAUGUAACUCUUUUGUCAAACAAUAUAAUUACAAUACUCAUUUGGAAGUGUCAAUUAAAGAUCUCGAGUCCACCAAGCAAAAGCCAAAUUAGUCCUUAUCUAAUUUCUUGACUAGAUGGAGGAAUAAGGCUGGAUUAAUGAAAAAUAAGCCCUAUGAAAAGGACCAAGUUCAUAUGGUGGUCCGCAAUGUUUUUCCAGGAUUGGUUGAAAGGUUGUAGAUGAUGAACCCGAAGACCUUCAUGGAUUUGUACAAUGAUGGGCUAAAGGUUGAAGAGAUCGAAAAUGACAAAAUAUGUACUUUGAUAGAGUAGUGAAUGCAAGAGGUGUAGGGUUAGGAGUAGUUUUGAUCACGCCAAGAGGAGAAAUGCUACCAAUGGCCUAAAGAUUGGACUUUAGAGUGACCAAUAACAUGGCGAAGUAUAAAGCAUAUUUUUUGGAUUAGAAGCAGUCGUGGUAGCAGGAUCUAAGCAGUUGAUAGUCUACGAGGACUCCAUAUUGGUAAUCCAACAAGCCCUCAAGGAAUGGAAAGUAAAAGAAAAGAGGUUGAAGGCGUAUGUUAACUAUUUCAAGACUUUAGUAUGUAAUUUAUCCAAGUGUUCCUUUGUACACUUACCUCGAGAUGAGAAUCAGAUGGCGGACGUGUUGGCUACCCUAUCGUCUAUGUGGGUCAAUCCCUUAUAGCUUUCGGUGAAACCUUUGGUGAUUGUGAAGUCGAGUGCGCCAUGUUAUCAAGGGGUCGGAUAAUGCAAGUUCAUAUAUGAACAAAAGAGAAGCCUUGGUUUUAUGAUCUAAAGAGGUUUAUAGAAAAUAGGGAAUAUCCAGAGGAAGUGACUACAAGGGAAAGAUACAUGCUGAGGGUUCAAGCCAAAAAUUGCAUCAGCCAUGAGGGAGUCCUGUAUAAAAGGAUGGUGUCUGGUGUACAGCUCCGAUGUGUGACUAAAAUAGAAGCUCAAGUAGUGAUGAAAGAGAUGCACAAAGGAGUAUGCAGGCCUCAUAUGAAUGGCAUAGUGUUAAUAAGGAAGAUCAUGGAGCAAGGAUAUUAUUGGUUAACGAUGGAAAAGGAUUGUAUAGCAUUAGUGAGGAAGUGCUGUGAAUGCCAAUUAUACAGUGACUUUAGUCACAUACCUCCAACCGCGCUGCAAAAAUAGCUUGGGGAAUCGACAUCAUUUGGAGAAAUAAAACCUCCCUCGAAUGGUCACAGGUUCAUAGUCGUGGCAAUUGACUACUUCUCUAAAUGGGUCGAAGCUAAGUCGUUCACUACUGUGGGAGCAAAGCAAAUGGCCAGAUUUAUAAAAAGCAACAUGAUUUACAAAUAUAAGGUCCCACAUCAUGCUGUGAUGGAUAAUAGGUACAGUUUAUGGGGGAGACAGUGGACCUGCAAGCAGAAUAUAAGAUCAAGCAUCAUAAGUCUUCUCCGUAUAGACCUCAAGCAAAUGGAGCGGUAGAAGUAGCCAACAAGAACCUGAAGAAAAUACUCUUUCGAAGAUGGUGUGGAAUCAUAAGGACUGGUCAUUUUGGUUAUCCUUUGCAUUUUCGGGAUAUUGAACAACUGAGCAAACAUCGACUGGGCAAACACCAUACUCUAUGGCUUACGGGACUAAAGCGGUUUUUCCGGUUGAGCUAGAAUUGAAGUCUUUGAGAGUUGUAUUUAAGGUUGAAAUAUUAAAGUAUCAACGGGUUGAGGAAAGCUACUAGUAGUUGGCUUUAGUUGAUGAAAAAAGGAUGAAAGCCCUAUACCACAGGCAAGUGUAUCAUAAAAGGACAGCUAGGGCAUUUAAUAAGAAAGUGAAGUCAGAAAAGAUCAGAGCUGGAGAUCUAGUAUUGAAGCACACAAGACCUAUUGCAUUUGACCCGAGAGGAAGUUUAGACCGAAUUGGGAAGGCUCAUACUUGGUAAAGAAGAUCCUGCCUAAAUGUGCUGCUAAAAUCUCAGACCUGGAAGAGAACGAGUUCAUUGAACCAAUCAACUUAUAUCGUCUCAAGAAAUACUAUGUAUAAAAAUAAAUAAUAGAAAAGAAUAGCCUACUGAUCGAAAAACUUAAAAAGGAUGGUCAGGCAAAAAGAGAGAAAAUAAUUAGCUAGAAAAUCUGAAAAGACUACUGAUAAUAGGAGUUAUAUCUUGAGAAAUCAAAAUGUACCCAUCUGGACUUCUACUAAAUGAAUAAAUUAUUUAGAAUUAUUAUCAAACAGAUAUAUGUUUGUUUACCAUUAUCCGUACUAACUGAAAGAAAAAACAAAGCUAAAAUUCCUAAGCAAAAUAAAUGAGAUCUAAAAAAAAAUAUAUUUUCUAUCUUCUUCUCGCAUAUGCAUCCCUAGAUAAAGCAGCUAGCUCUCGAGUCCUCUUAAAUCAUGCAAAACAAGGAGAAGUGGAAAUCUGAAGUUGAACCCAAGCCUUGAAGUUAUCAUCAGUAGUCAGAUCUCCCUCAAAGUCAAGGUUGCGCUCUGUGUCUCGACGGGGUCAAAGUCUUUCAACCUUAUCCAAGAAACCUUGUAUGAGUGGGAAGCCUUCGAAUUCAGGUAGGAAUUCCAAGAUCCAUUGCUUCUGCCUAUACUAGCGGCAAAGUCUCAAAGGUGUGUAAAAGGUGGAUGCCUGUAAUUCAAGUAAGGGUACACGAUCACCAUACACCAUGAGUGUGACUUGCUUGAUUCUCAACCAAGGGCAAGCCCUGCGAAUGACUGUGUCCAGGAUGCCUUUUAUCUAGGAAAUCCAGCCAUCAUGUCCUUGUGGGGCAAUAACAGAUCGAAUGUGCACGUGCUUUGGCUCGUACUUAUCGACGUUCCUCGGGAUGCUCAAUAUAUAAAGCUUCUUGGCACAGCCAAAUCUACAAAAAGAGAUAGAAAAAUAAAAAAAGAGAAAAAAGAGAAAUAAGCUAAAUCGAAAAUUUGAAAGGGUGGCUUAGGCAAAACUAAAGUCUGCUAAGUCAAAAACUCGUAAGAGCGGCUUAGGCAAAUGUUGGGAUAAAAGCCUACUAAGUUGAAAAUCUGAAAGGGCGACUUAGAUAAAAAUUAAAAUGAAAAAAAUGAAUAAUAAAAUAGUAAAAGAAAGGAGAUCUGGCUGUAUAUGUGUAAGAGAACGAGGCUACCACCAAACUGUUGAUGGAUUUUGUACAUGUCUAACCCAAUGAUGAUUUCAGCCAAGAUGACUGAAAUUGGAUCUACUCCAUGCUCCAUAUGGUCAAUAAUGCCAGUAAUUUUGAUAUUUCCCCCUCUUUGGGGAGAAAUCAGUAAAAAUUAGGCAUAAAGGCAAAAGCCCAGCAUCCGAAUCCAAGAAGCUGUGCCCUUUUCCUUCUUCUCACAACAAGAGAUCAGCAAAGUAAGGGUAACGUAUUCACCAAUAGGAUGGAAAAGUACCUCAUCUUGGGGCAUAUCGAACAAUUCCACCAGUUUGCCAGGAAAAGGCUCAUCGAGUUUUGGCAGGGCAAUAGGAUGAGUAGAAUCCAUGGGGCCUACAAGAAUAGCAGAGAAUUCUUCAAUUAUGGGGCACAACUCUUGUCCAUUGAAUCUAAAGACAUGGUCCCUUAGACACCAAAAGUUGAUAGUAUAAUAGAGUAAUCUAUAAUCAAGUUUGGCGUGUUACAUGGCUUUGAAAGAUGAAAGAUGGAAUUUUCCAAGUUUAAUCCAAUCAUCACUUGUUAGUGUUUUUAGGAGAGUUUUUAGGCUUUUAGCACUCUUUAAAGACAUAUCUUCUGGCUGUUUAAAGUGUAAAAACACAUGUGAAGAAGUGAAGAGGCGCAUGGGUAAAUAUAGGCCUUGAAUCAGUGUCUAAUUUGGACUCUGCAAACUACAGAGCUAAUUAGGUAAGAGAGUGCACUUCCUACUUUCUCUUAUAAUCUUAUUCAAAGUUAUCAUGGCUUCAGGUGUUAAAAUACCCUUCCAUGUGCAACCUUUUACAUAUCUAUUGUGUAGUCGCACUAUACAUUUUUACUUAAGUACGUCUAUUAACUUCACAAUUGGAAAAUUUCUAAUUUUUCCUAUCCAAGAGUUAAAAGACUAUGUCAUGUUGUUAGUGACAUGAUCACUCUUGGCUUCUUCAUUGCCUCUUCCUAAGUAUUAGUUCAAGCAAUCCAUGAAAAACAUCGACCUAGCUUUGCACUCAUUCUCUACAACUACUAUUGCCAAAGGUAAACUCCUUUAUUCAUAUCAAAUAAAAUAGGUGAUAAAACACAUCCUCUAAAUGGCCCUUCAAGUAGCAGCCAUCUAAACCUAUAAAAGGCCUACACCCUUCUACAAAUCCUUUAAUAAUUGGCUCAAAACUCAAAAAGAAGUACUUGAAUGUUGGUGGGACAUCAAAUGAUUUUAUUCCUUGAAAUUCCAUUUUAACAGGUACUAGGAUUGAUUUGUCUCAAGAAAUUAAUAUAAGUGUUAAGUUUCUUAAAUGAGUCCUCAUGGGUAGAUGCACUACAUUCUCUUCCUUUAGUUCUAGCCCUAUAUAAUUGCCACAUAGGCACAUCUAUGCCUUAUUUCUUUGUUAACUCGGCACACAUCAAUUCAUAACUCAAUUUAGGAUUAAUCUCCAACAUAUCAGAUAACUUUUCAGUUACCCAUUGAGUGGAUGCAUUUUUGUCUUUAUUAUCCACUGGCAUUAUACAAGUAUGUUCCCCUUUCAAAGUCUUGAUCAUGAAUGUUUUCUUGUCUAGAAGUUCAGAAGCAGGGAUCCUCCAUUGGCAAUUUUCACCUAAGCAUAUAGUUGUCCCUCUAUCUAUAUCAUUCUUUGUCUUUUUAAGAGCAUACCCUCCUUUUACAGCAUAGUCUCUUAAGGCAUUCCUAAAAUCUUGCACACUAACAAAUGUAUGGCCUACUUCAAAACUAUAGUCACCAUCACCAGUACUACUGAAAGGAUUAGAGUACAUAGCUCUAAAAGGAUCCCUCCCUCUCCUUUUCCUUUCUCUAGUCCUACCUAUACUAUCUUCAUUUUCAAAUGAAGAUAUCCCAAUACUCACAUCGGACCUUAUAUCACUAAGGCUAUCAUUAUUAUUCAUUAUGCAAAACUCAUCCUCUCCAAACAUUUCUCCAUUCACUUAAUUUUUAGAGCUACUGCUAGUAUCUUCAUCACCAACCUCUUUGAUUUGUUAUGUUUAUCCUGGUCUAUAACGGACGUGAAAUAUUAUUAAUGACCAAUUAGAUUUGUAUAUGGCAUGUUAGACAUGAUUAAUAUUAUGUUUUCUUAUGCAUUUUAUUGAAUAUCGAUUAGUAAGACUUACUACGGUACUUGGUAGCCUUAAGCCUACUCAUUCCCUAGUACCGGUCACGGGCCCACAGAUUCGGUCGUGAUAAAGUUGGUAUCAGAGCAGGACCCCUUUAGUAGAUGUGCGAUUCGAGGAGGAACCAAGCGGAAGCUGGUGGGCAUGUGACAGCCUGGCCUAGAGAAGCGGUCCGACAAGGGCGGAAAGUGGACGCCGGAGCAAAAAUAGGAUGCCUGUACAAGGAGCGGCUUCUGGCAGGCUUCUAGGAUGGCAGCACUCUAAGGUACAGAGGUACAUGAAUGAAUCGAAUUACACAUUGAAAUGGGAUGGGGAAUAGUUGAUAACAUAUAUGUAAAGAGUUGGAACUAAUCACAUGAGGUGCCUUUUGGUUGUUUGGCUAUAGAGUUGUAGGAACUCUAAAGUUAAACGUGCUUUGUUCAGGAUGGGGGACCUCUUGGAAAGUUUGAGUAGGACCUCCUGGGAAGUUCUUGAACUCGCCAAAGGGACAAAACCGUGAGGCCAGUGAGGCUAAAGCAGUUAAUAUCUCAUUUAAUCCAGUUCCGGGUCGUUACAGAUUGUUGAGGUAUUUCAAAUUCCAGUAUGGUUGAUUCAGCUAUUUCAAGUCAUGUUAUAAUUGGUUCAAGUACUUCAGGUUUUAGUAUAGGUUGUUCAGGCAUUUUAGGUUCAGGUAUUUCAAUUUCUGGUAUAGUUGGUUUUAGUGUCUCAGGUUUUACAAGUGGAUGAAUACGAGUUCUAUUCAUAACUGGUUCACUAAUAAUGGCUUCAGGAGGUGUUGCAUACCUCUUAUACACCCUAAUAGUGAUUACAGGGCUGUCCUUGUAUUGCCUAAACAUAUUAUUUACAUCCUCAUUACUUCUCAAAACCAUCAUGUUAUCCACCAUACAAUGUAUAAAGUCACUUUUUACAAUGAACCUCCUAAAGACAUUAGACAUAAAUUCAAAAUAUGAAUACUUCUUUGGAAAGAUAUUAUCAAUAGUAACUUCUUGAUCUUGAAAUUGAACUUGCAACUUGUAGAACUCUACAUAUUUCUUUGUAUAAAACAAAAACAUAUUAAAAUCUCAAUUUCUUUUGGAAAAUCCUGGUUUUAAUCAAUUAAAGAUUAAAAUUCCAAAAUCUUUUGAAAAGCCCUAAUUUUAAUCAAUCACAAUUAUGUUUCAAAUCCUAAUUCCAAUUUCUAUUAAAUUCUCUAACAGACAAACAAAUCACUACAAAAAUCACAAUGCACAAAUACAAACUGAACACAGUUCUUUUGUACCUUUAUUGCUUCCUUCAAACCCACAUGUUGUGCUUCCUUCAAACGCACUAUAUUUUUUAGAAUCAAUUUCAAGGAUAUGAGAAAUAAUUUUGUGCUUUUGGUUUAAGUAAUAUUCAUAUUUCUAAGACAGUACGAGAAAGAGAAAGAGAGAGAGAGGAGAGUUAGGUUUUAUUUUUAGAU